GACAGAGGUCCCGAGCGUUGUUCGGAUUCAUUGGGCGUAAAGGGUGUGUAGGAGGUCGGGUAAGUCAGGUGUGAAAUCUCAGAGCUUAACUCUGAAACUGCGCUUGAUACUGCUCGGCUAGAGGAUCGGAGGGGGUAACGGAAUUUAUGGUGUAGCGGUGAAAUGCGUAGAUAUCUGGAGGAACACCGGUGGCGAAGGCGGCAUCCUGGACCAAUUCUGACGCUGAGUGAGCGAAAGCCAGGGGAGCAAACGGG
rnacentral:rRNA from 1 species